rnacentral:lncRNA from 1 species
UUUUUUUUUUUUUUUAAGUGUCAGUCUCCAGGAACCUUUAUCAGAUACCAGGGAACAUAAGUUUACAUCUUAGCUAAAGAGCUUAUCCACUCACAGAAAGCUUCCCAUAUAGCCUUGGAGGACAGAGGGUGGAAGUAAAAAUCAGACUUAACUACUAAAAUUACUUCUGCCUGAAAUUUUAGCUUAUAACUUGAACAGCUUACAACUAAAAUCCUUGAAAAUGAAGUCUUAGCGCUUCCAGCCGAUAGAUGUUUUCCACACAGGAGAUGAAAGAGCAGGUACAGCCUGGGUUUCUUUCAACGGGAAGGAACAGCAAUUGGUUGUGGUCUGUAGGAAAAGAAAAAAAGUAAAUGUCCUUUAAAAGCUUAAUAGUACCAAGAAGAUCUUUUUCUCCCUUUCUCUCCCAGUGGAACCAUAAAGUCCUCCCAGGCAAAGACCAGGCCGACAAAAAGAAAAAGAGAUAACAAAAAAACUGAAGUAUCAUGUGGAUAGACUUACAGACUGAUCACAACUCACGUGAUGACAUUUUAUUACUGAUGGAACAGAAUGGGAAACAGUUUUUCUUAACGGACAUUAUUUCCUGUUUCUGGAAUACAGUGGUUUGUUUCUUUCAUUCAUACCACAUAGCAGGUCAGUUGGCUUCCCAGCGCUCACCUUUGUUUAUUGGCCAUGCAAUGGUUUGACUUUUCUCCCACUGGACAUAUCCUUGCUCUGUCUCCUUCCUGUACCAAUAGUUUUUGUCAUCGCUUUUGGAAUUUUAACAGCAUUCUGAGAAAGUUUGUUUAGAGAAAAUAUGGGAAGGAUAAUAAAGGAAUUUUUAAGUAGGAAAGCUGGGAGUGAAUAUUGGGUUCUAAAAGGUGAAGAGCUUCUUCUGCUCAAAUGAAGGGGAGGAUAACCAGGCUGCUGGCUGUGGGAUCACAUCAGUGACCAGCAGCGAGUUUGGCACUCAGGCAGAGCGCACAUGGAGAGGGCUUGAGAAUAUCCCCAUGAGUGUGCAAUGAGACAGAAAAAUGUAAGCUAUGGCC